CGUCAUCUCUUUAUAAUGUAUAGCAACAUAUUAAAUGACUAAUAAUCUUAAUUUUUUUUUUAGGAAUUAUGUCGUAUGUAGGGCCUUGUAAUUCUGCCCCAGGAAGCACCACAAAGAUAAAAGUUUCAAUCAGUCCAAUUGGAGAGAUUACUGGAGAUAACAAAAAUCAAUUCACCUCAUUUCUAGGAAAUAUGGUCAGGACUCAUUGUCCAAUUGCAUACAAAGACUAGCGGCUUAUGCCAGAUACCAUCAAGGAUAAUGUUUGGUCAACUGUUUUGGCCAAAUAUGAUGUUGAUGACAGUGACAACUGUAAAACUGCCAUAAUUAAGCAUGCUAAUGAUAUGUGGAAGGACUGGAAGAACCGAUUACGAGGAACUGUCCUGGAUAUGUAUGAUAAUGAUGGAGACAGGAAAAAAAAUUGCCCUAAUGGGGUCAAGCUAGAAGAUUGGGUUAAAUUCAUUGAUUACGAAUCUACAGAAGAGGCGAAGUCUCGUCGUGGAAAGGGAAAGGAAUCCAGAUGUGAAAUGAAGUUCCCUCACACGACUGGGUGACGGGGAUUUGCUAGGACGGCAGAGUUGCUUCAACAAAAAAAUCCAGAUACUCAAAUCACGAGAACUGAAUUAUUUCUGGCAACUAAUACUAGAUCCGAUGGG